GGUUAAAAAUUAAAAUAUUUCUAGAAGUUCUUAGUUUCUUGUAGAGGUGGAAUUCGAAUAAGAAAAUUUAGAUUGCUAACUUCUUUGAUUUGAGGCCUUGAAAAUUUAGUUUAAGACCGGGAUUAGAUACCCCGUUAUUUAUUUUGUAAACUUUGAUAUUUGUAAUUUACUUGAGUAUUACGAGUAACUAAUUAAUGAGUAAGUUAAUUGGUGUGGACUUAAAACUCAAAAAACUUGGCGGUGCCUUAAUUCUUUUCAGGGGAACUUGUCCCGUAAUCGAUGGUCCUCGAUUUAGCUUACUUUUCUUUGUAUUUUAUUUUAGUUUUAAAAACAGUUUGUAUACCGUCGUCGUCAGAUUACCUUUGAGAGAAAUAAAAGUUGUCGGAAAAAAUAAGUAUAACUGAUUUUAGAUUAAAAGCGGAUGUUUAAUGGUCUACUAAAAUUUAUAUAUGUUUUUAAUGUCAGAUCAAGGUGCAGCUUAUAGAAAAGUGGAGAUGAGUUACAAUAAAUAUUUAUUAAACGGAUUUUAAAUUGUAAAAUUUAAUUAAAGGCGGACUUGAGAGUAAUAUUAGUAAAUAGAAUAAAGAAUUUAAUUAGUAUGUAAAUGUGAAUAUGGUACUAAGGUGCGU
rnacentral:rRNA from 1 species